GUCAAACUGCUAGGGGGACACUAUUACCACCCGAUUAACUGACACAGGAGAACUUCCUGGUGAGUUCUAGAAUGCUUCUCUGGGCAGUUCUUUCCUUUCUUUUGUUUUUAUGUCUGCUUUUCCAGUUUCACGCGGACUUGGGUCCACGGAGGUUUCGGUGAAUGAUGUGCGUACGUUUACUGCCUACCUCUCUGCCUCAAGGUCUGACAGCUCUUCCUUGUCCUUUUGCUUUCAGAUGGCAUCUUUUCACUGUACUGAUGGAUAGCACACACCACUUCCUGGUGUGUGCUCAUUUAUUGAACAUAAACACGCAUUUACUCACUGCACAGCCAAACCUCUGAACAAGGAGGCAGCCUUGAUGAACAGAAAAGCCUGAAACCGGAGCCAUGCUGUGAAGUCUCACGGUAAGUUAAGCAUCCAAUUAAGUGCCACACUUACUUUAACUGGUUAAAUGGGCAAAAAUCUGACACAGGUGCAUAGCAGAAAAUGAUGGCAUCUUGAGAAACAACCUUGCAGGAGAGUCUCAGAUUUUCUUUGAUGUACUAGUCUGACAUUUCAGAGACUCUGCCUCCACAGCCACUCGGCUGCUGCAGGUUGCCUCAGCCUCUUCUGAGCUUUUAGGAUACUUCUUGAAGUCAACGAUGUUAUUAUGCCCACUUUAUAGGUGAGAAAGAAGGCAAAGAGGCGGGAUGAGCACACACAACCAGCAAGGACUAGAGAGGGGGCUGGUACUCAAAAAAUGCCCUUCAGUCUACAUUCUCAGCGACUUCUGGGGCCUUCGGACAGGAACGGGUCCUGCCACAUGACCUGUGCUAUUUUGGGAAUGAAACCGAUAGGAAGCAUCCUGACCACUUAGUGUCCCCGGUGCACUCUGGGGAAAUUCUAGUGUAAUAACUGAAGAGCGCCCGGUGCAGUUUUUUGUUUUUUUUCAUUUUCAUUUUCUCCCCUGAUACAGAGUCUCAUCUAUCAAAUAGGUUGGACUUGAACUCUCUAUGCAAUCAAGAAUGCCCUUGAAUUUCUGAUCUUCCUGGUUCUACCUCCCUAAUCCUGGCUUUACAGGCAAGCACCAUCAUAUCUGGCUUUAUGCAGUGCUGGGGAUAGAACUCAGAACCUCAUGCAUCCUAAGUAAGCGCCCUACCAACUGAGCUACACCCACGGACAGAAUGUGUGUUCGUUCUUCUUCUUUCAAUACGCAAGCAGUCAUAGGACAUAAGUAAAGGUUAUUUCUGCAGGCAUCUUUUCAAGAUGUCUAGAAGCUGUCACCAUCAGAGACUGUCUGAAGAGAACUGAAGACAUCUGAUUCCAGUGCUCAAGUUCAGAUGAAGGAAGGUCUGCCCAGUAUGUGCUGUGUUUGAGCCAAACAGUAUGGACUAAGCUGGAGAAGCGGCCUGACAGCCUAGCUAUGCUCAUCUUGGCUGCGGCUGAUGCACCAUAGUCGUUGUCUAUGUUCUGGACCAACCCUCCUUCUGGCUUUACCUCUGCAUCCUCCUUACUCUCUGGGGGAGGGGCCUCAGCAUCAGUCAUCCUCCUAGGCAGCUGGAGCACCAUUUCAGUGCUCACAGCACUCUGUGCUCACAGAGGGAGAAAGAGAGUGAGUGUGUGACAUCUCUUCAUUUUCCUUCUCAUUCUCUGAUUGCAUAGAAAGUAGCUCACACUCGUAUCCUUGACCUUCUACUUCAAACUCAUGGGGUUUCAGGUUUUCCUAUCAAGGGAUGAAUCUCUACAGAGCACGGUCUCUUCCUUUCAACAUGUUAUGCUGAAGGGAGGCUUUGUAGAUGGUGGGGAGCCACCCACCUGCUGCUUAAUCCCUGAAGUGUUUACAUCAUCUAUUGGCAUAGUUCACAAACAUUAGCUGAGCUGAGACACGAAAAUAAAGGCACCUGGUACAGUCCCUGUCCUCGGUGUAGGUAUGAAAAUGGGUGGUGGAUGGCGACUUCAGUAUUGAAUGUGGCAAACCAGAAACCAACACUGAGACUGUGUGAUGUUCGGGCACCUGUGCAGAGCGCUGUGUACCCAGAGGACUACGAGCAUCUUCCUAACCCGACUGUAUGCUGCUUCCUGAAGUCAUAGGCUGCUG
rnacentral:lncRNA from 1 species